CUCGACCGAUCGUUCGGCUGGGGACUCUGCUCAUAUCUCACAGCGUCCUCGUCAGUGUCAUCUGCUGCGUUGCGGGGGUUCUGGCUCUGCUUUUGCUGCCGAUUCUCGCCAAGAACACCUACAUUUCAGAAAACGCCCUCAUGCCAGGUCGAUACUCGUUCUUUCUCUGUGAAUUUAAUUGACUGAUACCGUUUAGCGUUUUCGUUACUGUCGUGUUCUUCCUUUUGACCUCCUCCGAUGUAAGAUGCAGCACUACAUUUCUCUCCAUCGUGCAAUUAGCGAAUAGCAUACUCUAACUGAGAAGAACGCUCUCUCUCCUCCGCUGGUUGCCCACGACGCCAACGCUGACGCCCACCUCCGCCUCCGCCUCCUCAUCCGCCAACGCCGACGCACUCUCUCCUCUGCUGGUUGCCCGCAACGCCGACGCCGACGCCCACACCCACCUCCGCCUCCUCCGACACGUGUCUCCAUCAUUUGUUCUAAUAUUGGAUAGUUCUUUGUUUGACAAAGGAUACUGUUGUUGAUGCUGGAAUAUUCGAUGGAUCAUUAGGUGUUAUCUUAGCAAUAUCUGCACUGAAGGUUCUGAAUGCCCGCGGAAAGUUGGGCAAUCUAUUGUGGCCAGUCGAGGUAAUCACUUUUAGUGAUGAAGAGGGAGUUAGAUUCCAAUCUACCUUCCUAGCGGUGUAAUUGUACAAGAGGCUUUUAAAGAGAACUCCAUACAAAUCAGUGAGGAAAACUUACACAACCUCAAGUAUGACCGAGAUUCUGUUUGGGGUUAUGUUGAGGUUCACAUCGAACAAGGAC